GGCGAACGCUGGCGGCGUGCCUAAUACAUGCAAGUAGAACGCACAGUUUAUACCGUAGCUUGCUACACCAUAGACUGUGAGUUGCGAACGGGUGAGUAACGCGUAGGUAACCUGCCUGGUAGCGGGGGAUAACUAUUGGAAACGAUAGCUAAUACCGCAUAAUAUUAAUUAUUGCAUGAUAAUUAAUUGAAAGGUGCAAUUGCACCACUACCAGAUGGACCUGCGUUGUAUUAGCUAGUAGGUGAGGUAACGGCUCACCUAGGCGACGAUACAUAGCCGACCUGAGAGGGUGAUCGGCCACACUGGGACUGAGACACGGCCCAGACUCCUACGGGAGGCAGCAGUAGGGAAUCUUCGGCAAUGGACGAAAGUCUGACCGAGCAACGCCGCGUGAGUGAAGAAGGUUUUCGGAUCGUAAAGCUCUGUUGUAAGAGAAGAACGGGUGUGAGAGUGGAAAGUUCACACUGUGACGGUAUCUUACCAGAAAGGGACGGCUAACUACGU
rnacentral:rRNA from 1 species